GACGAACGCUGGCGGCGUGCUUAACACAUGCAAGUCGAACGGAAAGGCCCUGCUGGGGUGGGGUGCGCGAGUGGCGAACGGGUGAGUAACACGUGAGUAACCUGCCCUUGCCGUUGGGAUAACUUCAGGAAACUGGGGCUAAUACCGGAUAGGAGCUCCUGCUGCAUGGUGGUGGUUGGAAAGUUUCGGCGGUUGGGGAUGGCCGCGCGGCUUAUCAGCUUGUUGGUGGGGUAGUGGCUUACCAAGGCUUGGACGGGUGGCCGGCCUGGGGGGGUGACCGGCCACAUUGGGACUGGGAUACGGCCCAGACUCCUCCGGGGGGCACCAGUGGGGAAUAUUGCACAAUGGGGGGAGCCCGGAUGCAGAAACGCCGCGGGCGGGAUGCCGGCCUUCGGGUUGUAAACCGCUUUAGCCGGUGACGAAGCGUGAGUGACGGUAAUGGGUAAAGAAGCACCGGCUAACUACGUG
rnacentral:rRNA from 1 species